rnacentral:rRNA from 1 species
GACGAACGCUGGCGGCGUGCUUAACACAUGCAAGUCGAACGGAAAGGCCCCUUUGGGGGUCCUCGAGUGGCGAACGGGUGAGUAACACGUGAGUAACCUGCCCUUGACUUCGGGAUAACUUCAGGAAACUGGGGCUAAUACCGGAUAGGAAUCCUUGCUGCAUGGUGGGGGUUGGAAAGCUUCGGCGGUUUUGGAUGGACUCGCGGCUUAUCAGCUUGUUGGUGGGGUAGUGGCUUACCAAGGCUUUGACGGGUAGCCGGCCUGAGAGGGCGACCGGCCACAUUGGGGCUGAGAUACGGCCCAGACUCCUACGGGAGGCAGCAGUGGGGAAUAUUGCACAAUGGGCGGAAGCCUGAUGCAGCAACGCCGCGUGCGGGAUGACGGCCUUCGGGUUGUAAACCGCUUUCAGCAGGGGCGAAGCUUGUGGUGACGGUACCUGCAGAAGAAGCACCGGCUAACUACGUG